UAUUAAUGAUAAAAAGGAAUGCUUGUAGCUUAAACGAAAAUAUGAAUAUGGUAGGAAAGGAAUCAAAUUGAAUUGAAUAAGCAAUCGUUAUUGGGCUAUCCAAAAGGUCAAAACAAGCUACAAGAAGACACCUGAAGAAUGAUACUAGAGACUAUCUAAUCCUUAAAAAUUAACGCGCUUUAAUACGAGGACACAACAUAACACUUGGCGAACCACGACACAACGAAUCUUGUGACCACAGAACUAAGGAUUGCUGUCUUGAGCCGGUGAAGAGAAAAUAGGAUUAAUGACACAUUAGAACUGUUUCAUUUCUUCUUUGCAGACACAGACACAGGAAGCAGCCAUGUAUAAGCGUUUCAUACAGGAGCUUGCCGAUGACACAGAAGUUGACAUGGAGUUAGAAGAGGUUAAGCAAAUAUGUGAAGCAGUAACACUACUGACCACCAAAAUUCUCCACCAUGUUGAAGACAGCAUGCCGUUUUUUAAGUCCUCUGAUGUCGUCCGGUGCGGUAGUAUGGCUGAAGGUACUCGAAUUUGGAAAUUCACCGACACUGAUGAAACAACCGUUUUGGAGUUUGAUUUUUUAUCAGUUUUAGAAAAAUUUGGUGGCAAUGAUUUUACUGCCGAAAACUCGUGUCAUGGAUUCAUGAGCGUAAAACAAGAAACAUCCAUUUUUCCUGUAGAAUAUCAAAACUUUUCCAAUGAAGUUGGAUCAAUUGGGAAAAUAAACACUCAUAUGGUUUCCUUCAUGUUUAGAACAGAGCUGAUGAAAGUCGUUGAAAAGCUCUGCUCCUGUUUAAAGUGUAAUUUAAAAGUUUUGCCAACUGGUAAUUACAUUCUGGGAAACAUUACUAAAUCCGCCGAAUUCUCUGAAGCCUGCAGCGAAUGCCAAAUUCACUGUAAAACAGGCACUUUGGCAAUUGCCACUGGUGGGGACAUUCAUCCAGUAAACUGGGGAUCCUCAAUGAUCUUCCUGUGGAAAAGGAAGGUUGUCCAAGGAAUGAAGUAUCCUUGUGAAAAGACUCGACAGAAACCAAAGAUCGACAAUGAUGUUAUAAUAUUGGUAGAUUUUUUGCCAGUUAUUGAAGUAACAAAGAAAGGGGUGACUCCUAAGGAACACUUGUAUUACCUUGUACCAAAAAUUUGUAAAAAUGAGCAUAAUACUUGCUGGAAAAUCUCUCAUUGUAGGUCAGAGCUGAGCGAGCUCGUGAGCAGCAGCCGCAUGCAUCGACAAUGCUACAUGGUAUUGAAGUUCAUACAAGACUACAUCGAUUGUGAACUCAAAGGAAUCCCUGAGAGCCCUAAGACAUACAUGAUAAAAUCCGCAGUUAUUCUGCACAUUCAAUCAUGUAAGAAGGAACAUCCUUCUUUAGAGUCUUGUGUGUUGGAAAUUAUCGAUUUUCUGACUGAUGCAUUUGAAAAUGGAUUUCUUCCACACUUAGUUCUGGGGUUCAACUUACUAGAAAAGUACCAGGACCCUGCGCUUCCACCAGAAGAUCAGCUGUGGACUGGGAACAGGAACACAGUGAUGAGCAAAUGCUGGUGCUUCUUGGGCCACGUGUUCAGAAACCUUGACUCAAUCGUUUCUGUGGACUACGAUUUUGAUACGAUCCAGACAAUUUUGAAGCUAAUAACACUCGAAUAUGGAGUUUGUUGGGGGAAAACAGACUUCAGAGAUUUAUACCUUCCAGAUGAGUGUUAUUUUUUAGAAGUGCUGAACAAAAUUGGCAGUGGGGAUUUUCCUUCCAAAAGCGAAAUGCGAAACAUAACAAGAAAAACCGACAUGUAUCUGGGAGAAAGAUAUAAAGGACAAAACCGUUCUCUUCUUUACAUGUGUAUGAUGCGCUGCCGUAAAGUUCAUGAAGAUCUUCUCGAAAGAAAGGCGGAAUUUGACCAAGGAUUAGAGCAAGAAGGUGUUCGUCAAUUUCUAGAAAAAUACCAAUGGCUACUAAAACCUGACGAAAACACGAAGCCCUAGACGUGCAAGAAGACUCUGUAUGGAAUGUUACCGUUGUCCAAUACGACUUAACGGCUGCGUUAAGGACUUUAUUCUGCUAAAUGUGAGACUGAACAGCUGACCACUAUGAGGACUGACUAUACUGACCUCUAUGAGAACUGCCUAUGAUGACCUCUAUGAGAACUGCCUAUGAUGACCUCUAUGAGAACUGCCUAUGAUGACCUCUAUGAGAACUGCCNCCUAUGAUGACCUCUAUGAGAACUGCCUAUGAUGACCUCUAUGAGAACUGCCUAUGAUGACCUCUAUGAGAACUGCCUAUGAUGACCUCUAUGAGGACUCGGCUCCGCUUCGUUUUAUCUCAAUUCGCCUUUCGGAGUUUGGAAAUAGGAUGAAACACUCUGUACCGUACUUGAUAUAUAAGGGUCAUCGCAACAAACCGACAAGAACACUCCUGGAGAGAGGAACCUGAUUACAUGAUGACUUUAAGCGAAAGAACUCGCCUCAACAUCUUAUUGUGUCUGUCUGUCAUCCUGGCUAUUUUUCAAGUAAUUACAGCUACGGCUGUGAUCAUUUUGUUCAAAGCAUAUUCUGACCUCAAGAAGAAAGCUACUGAAACUGAGACAAAUCUAUCUUCAAUCGAAACACAAAUUUCUUUGAGAAACGAGGAAAGGCCUGAAACAACUGCAACAACAGCAACGGUGGAAUCAGAAAGAAACAGCCGGAAAUGGCGGGGAAACGUUGAGGAGAGUCCAACCAGAGUGCCGACACCUCCACAAAACAGAAGAUCUGGUUACAAGCAGGAAAUUUAUCCUCAAUACUACAGCACAGAGGUUCCUAGGACACAAAGUAGAAACUCCCAAGAAAUGACUGGAUUUCCUCGAGACACUUCGUUUACUUCAGCUAGGUCAUGUGACUCGGGCACAGGCUCCUUUAUUACCAGAACCCCACAAAGCUCAAUUUCAUGCGAAUCCAAAACGCUGUGGCAAGCCCCGAUUAUCGAAAGAGGUUCAAAUGAGGUGAAGGAUAGACCCAUUUCGCGUGACUCUCAGAUCAGCCAAUCGCCAUUUCGCCUGUCACGUGAUACGUCAUCUGAAGUUUGGAGAACCGGCUCGAGUGGCUCAUCACAGAGUUUGGAAGACAAGUCGCGUAGGGCCAGAAGAGAAGUACGCAAAGAAUGUAACGAGCCCAGUAAUCAAAACGAGCUUACGUACAAUCGUUCUUCUCGCUUACAUACAAUGGCAAUUGAAAUGAUAGGGUUGGAGGAAAAUGGCCUUACAAAUAAAGCUUACCAUGAAGGUAAUGAAGAUUUCAAUAAAGGGCUAAAGAAAACAGCUAUUGCUAGUGAAGAAUUGGCUCACGAUUUGAACUCUGAAUCUCAGCCGCAGAUCGGUAAAAAUGUCAACACCGCCGAUUUGAAUUAUGAAAAGGAAGAAAUAAAGAAGAAAUGGCACAAAGAUGAGAAUGAGGUCCCAACUAGAGUCCCGACGCCUCCAAGAAUGAGAAGAUCGAAACGAAAUAAAAAUGAGGUUCGAGACAGACUUUCUUCUCGCUUAGAAACAAUGGCAAUAGGUAUGAUAGGAUUGGAGGAAACCCACGCAGGAGAAAGAAAGAGUGAACGAUUAAGUAGACAUCUCAUCCAAAGAAAAGAAGAAAUAGGCGAAGAAUCAUCCGACCUAAAUGGUAAUAAAUCUAACGUUAUCACACGAUUUUAAUAGUCGUUUUAAACUGUGUGUGGUAAUGAGAAGGAUCAUUGAAGUGACUCCUGAAGGGGUUAAAUGGGAGCUGGGAUUUGCAUUUUUUUGAGCUGGGAAAAUUGAAUUUUAUGCACUGGGAAUGGGAUUCACAAACGAAAUAAAAACAAUCAUAAAAAUGGGAAUGGGGUUGAGAUUUGAGCAAAACGUAGUCCGGGGCUAUGAGAUCUACUCAAAAUGGGGGCUGGGAAAUGGAAUUAGGACAACCCCUUCAGGACCCUCAUUCAACCAUUUUUCCUUCUGCUCGUAAUUAUAAGUUUAAAAGAGGGCAUUAGAGAGUUUUAGAUUGACUUUUUUUUCUCCCCGCAAACGGCAAACGUGACCACGUUUUCAUAGUUUUCUUUUCUUUUACUUUACCUUUUACAAACCUUCUCACCAAGCGCAAAUACUCUUUUGUUUUUCUACUACUUGGACUUUUUUGCGAUUCUUUUUCAGUAAUUUAAAAGAAUUUUUUACUGGUCAACUGGCGUUUCACGUUUGCCGUGAACGUAAAUCUAAAACUCUCUAUUGUCGCCUGAGAGUUUCCUUGGUUAUUGAUGAGGGGGAGGGGGGGAAUCGUUUGAGUAAAUGAAUAAUUUUGAAUAAACUCAAAAUUCUCAGAUUUUCCAUUUUUUUCCAUCAGUAGCCACGCUACUUAGACACAAUUUUUAAUGUAAUGAUUUUUUAAUUUUUUAUCAACGUUAGGGAAGUAAUUACAAAAACCCUUCUUAGUUUUAAACUGUUCUACCAUUUCAGACUACGGGUUAUUCGCUCUAUAAUAGCCCCUUGCACUAAUUCUCUACCUGGGGGUUAAAAAAAUUGAAAAUAUUGGCAUCAUGUUGCAUGUUGCAUGUUGCAUGUUGCAUGUUGCAUGUUGCAUGUUAUAUCUUAAAAGCAGUGAUCCCGCGCGCUUAGGGAGUUUGCAAAUUGCGUUUGCGUUUGCUCUUCCAUUUUUGCUUGCAUUCGUGUUUGAACCGUAUAAGUCAUGCCAGGCAUUGAUAACGUAUGGGGGUAAGUUACGGUCAGGACGUUAAAAUAGCCCUGACAGACUAAGUAUAUCCUAUUGUAUUUUACAUAUUCCAAAAAGCAAUGCUUAAUAUGAUUAAUAAGAUAUAAUAAAAUAAAAUGCUUUUUCUUGCAUAGUUAA
rnacentral:misc_RNA from 1 species